GACCUCGUAGCUCAGUUGGCAGAGCAUUGGACUAGUAUCCUAAAGGUCGCGGGUUCGAUUCCCACCGUGGUCA
rnacentral:tRNA from 1 species